rnacentral:rRNA from 1 species
GAGUCUAGCAUGUGCGCGAGUCGUUGGGUAAACGGUGCGCAGGGGGGCGACCCUCUCGCACGACUGUACUAAACCUCUUUGGCGCAAUGAAAGUAAAAGUCCGCCUCGCGCGGACCGAGGGAGGAUGGGCCGUCCGACGUGUCGGCCCCGCACUCCCGGGGCGUCUCCGUAACGCUCGUACGGCCAGUUCGUUCGAGCGUGGGGGCGCACCCAGAGCGUACACGCUGGGACCCGAAAGAUGGUGAACUAUGCCUGGUCAGGACGAAGUCAGGGGAAACCCUGAUGGAGGUCCGUAGCGAUUCUGACGUGCAAAUCGAUCGUCGGAACUGGGUAUAGGGGCGAAAGACUAAUCGAACCAUCUAGUAGCUGGUUCCCUCCGAAGUUUCCCUCAGGAUAGCUGGCGCUCGCCAUUUGAGCGAGUCUCAUCUGGUAAAGCGAAUGAUUAGAGGCAUUGGGGUCGAAACGGCCUCAACCUAUUCUCAAACUUUAAAUGGGUGAGAUCUCCGGCUUGCUUAAAUAGUGAAGCCGCGAGAUGUAUAAUUAUAUAUACUUGUAUAUAUAAUGUAAAGGAUCAGAGUGCCAAGUGGGCCACUUUUGGUAAGCAGAACUGGCGCUGUGGGAUGAACCAAACGCAGAGUUAAAGCGCCAAAAUCGAAGCUUAUGGGAUACCAUGAAAGGCGUUGGUAACUUAAGACAGCAGGACGGUGGCCAUGGAAGUCGGA